rnacentral:rRNA from 1 species
UACGAAGGGGGCUAGCGUUGCUCGGAAUCACUGGGCGUAAAGCGCACGUAGGCGGAUUGUUAAGUCAGGGGUGAAAUCCUGGAGCUCAACUCCAGAACUGCCUUUGAUACUGGCGAUCUUGAGUCCGGGAGAGGUGAGUGGAACUGCGAGUGUAGAGGUGAAAUUCGUAGAUAUUCGGAAGAACACCAGUGGCGAAGGCGGCUCACUGGCCCGAUACUGACGCUGAGGCACGAAAGCGUGGGGAGCAAACAGG